UGGGGAAUUGUUCGCAAUGGGCGCAAGCCUGACGACGCAACGCCGCGUGGAGGAUGACGGCCUUCGGGUUGUAAACUCCUUUCGAUCGAGACGAAUGGCCCUUGGGCUAACAUCCCGAGGGAGUGACGGUACCGAGAGAAGAAGCCCCGGCUAACUCCGUGCCAGCAGCCGCGGUAAUACGGGGGGGGCAAGCGUUGUUCGGAAUUACUGGGCGUAAAGGGCUCGUAGGCGGCCAAUUAAGUCAUACGUGAAAUCCCUCGGCUUAACCGGGGAACUGCGUAUGAUACUGGAUGGCUUGAGUUCGGGAGAGGGAUGCGGAAUUCCAGGUGUAGCGGUGAAAUGCGUAGAUAUCUGGAGGAACACCGGUGGCGAAGGCGGCAUCCUGGACCGAUACUGACGCUGAGGAGCGAAAGCCAGGGGAGCAAACGGG
rnacentral:rRNA from 1 species